UACGGAGGAUCCACGCGUUAUCCGGAUUUAUUGGGUUUAAAGGGUGCGUAGGCGGCCUAUUAAGUCAGGGGUGAAAGACGGUAGCUUAACUAUCGCAGUGCCUUUGAUACUGAUGGGCUUGAAUGUACUUGAGGUAGGCGGAAUGUGACAAGUAGCGGUGAAAUGCAUAGAUAUGUCACAGAACACCAAUUGCGAAGGCAGCUUACUAAAGUAUGAUUGACGCUGAGGCACGAAAGCGUGGGGAUCAAACAGG
rnacentral:rRNA from 1 species